rnacentral:rRNA from 1 species
UAAAAACCCCGACUUCGGAAGGGGUGUAUUUAUUAGAUACAAAACCAAUGCCCUUCGGGGCUCUUUGGUGAUUCAUGAUAACUACACGAAUCGCACGGCCUUGCGCCGGCGAUGGUUCAUUCAAAUUUCUUCCCUAUCAACUUUCGAUGUUUGGGUAUUGGCCAAACAUGGUUGCAACGGGUAACGGAGGGUUAGGGCUCGACCCCGGAGAAGGAGCCUGAGAAACGGCUACUACAUCCAAGGAAGGCAGCAGGCGCGCAAAUUACCCAAUCCCGACUCGGGGAGGUAGUGACAAUAAAUACUGAUACAGGGCCCUUUCGGGCCUUGUAAUUGGAAUGAGUACAAUUUAAAUCCCUUAACGAGGAACAAUUGGAGGGCAAGUCUGGUGCCAGCAGCCGCGGUAAUUCCAGCUCCAAUAGCGUAUAUUAAAGUUGUUGUGGUUAAAAAGCUCGUAGUUGAACCUUGGGCCUGGCUGGCCGGUCCGCCUCACCGCGUGCACUGGUCCGGCCGGGCCUUUCCCUCUGUGGAACCCCAUACCCUUCACUGGGCGUGGCGGGGGAAACAGGACAUUUACUU